rnacentral:misc_RNA from 1 species
CGCCUCUGCUGUUAAUUGCUUAGCUGCUCUCAGUGGGUCUUUAAUCCUUCUUGCCAUAUCAACAGCCUCUUGAUUAGACACCACCUUCCAAAGGCCGUCGCUUGCAAGGAUUAAGACAUCUACACUAUUAUCUAUGAUAGUGUCUUGUAUGUCAGGGUCUGAUCGCAGAUGUGAUUUAAGGUUCCUGUCUCCAAAAGCACGAGAAACUGCCAGC